AGCCUCUUGUGAUUAUUUUAUUAGAGGUGAUUUCUGCUCAGUGUUAAUAAAUAGCCGCAGUAAUUUGACUGUGCAAAGGUAGCAUAAUCAUUUGCCUCAUAAUUGGGGGCUGGAAUGAAUGGGAUUACGAAAAUUUUACUGUCUUUUGUUUAUUUUUAUAAUUUGUAUUUAAUGUGAAGAUACAUUAAUAUUUUAAUAAGACAAGAAGACCCUUUUGAGCUUUAUUUUUUUUCUUUUUUUUUUAUUGGAUAUUAAUUUGGUUGGGGCGAUCAAGGAAGAAAAAUAUUUGUUAAUUUAGAAUCUUCCUUUUUUUAUUCUAGAACCAUUUUUUUUGGAAUAUAGAUUUAGUUACCAAAGGGAUAACAGCGUAAUUUUUUUUGAGAGUUCUUAUUAAAAAAAAAGAUUGCGACCUCGAUGUUGACUUAUAGUUUCCUUUUGGUG
rnacentral:rRNA from 1 species